rnacentral:sRNA from 1 species
CAAAAAACCAGCGUCGCGAAGGCGCUGGCUCGGACGACAACAACCGUCAUGCCGUACAGGUCACGGCUAACGGCGACGCGAAGCGUCUGGAAGACCGGAGACUGGUUGUCAGCCAGGGGUCCGGCAAACAAUGUGAGCGGAUUCUAGGGAGGGUUUUAUAGAUCGUCAACACUAUAAAAUCGAGAAAACAUAACAAAAAGUAA